CUUCUUCUUACUGGUUUCCAGUUUCUCGUUGCUUUGAACACGGACAAUCGAUAACAGUUGUGGACGCGAAAAAAUCAAUGAAUUGGAAGGUCGUUUGGAGAAUGAAUUGGAGAUCAACCGAGCCAAGGUCAUUGAUAUCGGCAUAGUUGGUAUCGGCUCCACUGAGGAGUUAACUGUUAUGAAUCAAUAACCUACGGAUCGUGAUGGCACUUAAUCCACUCACUAAGUAAACCAAUAAAAAGACAACGGUGAUAAUAUAAUAAAUUGUAGAAUUAAUGCAACUGUAAUCAAAUAUCUAUAAUUAGAAAUCAAAUCAAUACAUAAUCCCCAGAAACUGGUAACAGUAAGUCAUGACCUCUAACAUAAUGAGUACAAAUCUAAAAAUGCAAUACACUUAAUCAAAUCCAGUAACAAAAAUGAUAGGAGACUCUAGGGACUGGGAUCAGGAUGCAGCUCUACCUCAGGUGUCCAUAGCAGCAACACAAUCUCUGAAGCUCAGCUCGAUCCAACUCCCAGAUCUGCACAAUUAAGUACAGAAUAUAGUAUGAGAAUCACCAACCUCAUAUAAUCAAUGAGUAUCACGACUAAUCUUGAUGAGACAGUGGCGAGAAAGGUCUAUAAUACUCUUUAGUCAAACUUGUAUAGUCAUGUAAAAAUAUGUACACAAUAACUGGAACCAAAACUAGGUAUAAAGUAC
rnacentral:lncRNA from 1 species